rnacentral:rRNA from 1 species
AUUGAACGCUGGCGGCAUGCUUUACACAUGCAAGUCGAACGGUAACAGGCCGCAAGGUGCUGACGAGUGGCGAACGGGUGAGUAAUGCAUCGGAACGUGCCCAGUCGUGGGGGAUAACUACUCGAAAGAGUAGCUAAUACCGCAUACGAUCUAUGGAUGAAAGCGGGGGACCGUAAGGCCUCGCGCGAUUGGAGCGGCCGAUGUCAGAUUAGGUAGUGGGUGGGGUAAAGGCUCACCAAGCCAACGAUCUGUAGCUGGGCUUAGAGGACGACCAGCCACACUGGGACUGAGGCACGGCCCACACUCCUAAGGGAGGCAGCAGUGGGGAAUUUUGGACAAUGGGCGCAAGCCUGAUCCAGCAAUGCCGCGUGCAGGAAGAAGGCCUUCGGGUUGUAAACUGCUUUUGUACGGAACGAAACGGCUCUGGUUAAUACCCGGGGCUAAUGACGGUACCGUAAGAAUAAGCACCGGCUAACUACGUG